rnacentral:rRNA from 1 species
GCUACCAUGCAGUCGAGCGGUAACACAGAGAGCUUGCUCUCGGGUGACGAGCGGCGGACGGGUGAGUAAUGUCUGGGAAACUGCCUGAUGGAGGGGGAUAACUACUGGAAACGGUAGCUAAUACCGCAUAACGUCGCAAGACCAAAGUGGGGGACCUUCGGGCCUCAUGCCAUCAGAUGUGCCCAGAUGGGAUUAGCUAGUAGGUGGGGUAAUGGCUCACCUAGGCGACGAUCCCUAGCUGGUCUGAGAGGAUGACCAGCCACACUGGAACUGAGACACGGUCCAGACUCCUACGGGAGGCAGCAGUGGGGAAUAUUGCACAAUGGGCGCAAGCCUGAUGCAGCCAUGCCGCGUGUAUGAAGAAGGCCUUCGGGUUGUAAAGUACUUUCAGCGAGGAGGAAGGCGUUAAGGUUAAUAACCUUGGCGAUUGACGUUACUCGCAGAAGAAGCACCGGCUAACUCCGUGCCAGCAGCCGCGGUAAUACGGAGGGUGCAAGCGUUAAUCGGAAUUACUGGGCGUAAAGCGCACGCAGGCGGUCUGUCAAGUCGGAUGUGAAAUCCCCGGGCUCAACCUGGGAACUGCAUUCGAAACUGGCAGGCUAGAGUCUUGUAGAGGGGGGUAGAAUUCCAGGUGUAGCGGUGAAAUGCGUAGAGAUCUGGAGGAAUACCGGUGGCGAAGGCGGCCCCCUGGACAAAGACUGACGCUCAGGUGCGAAAGCGUGGGGAGCAAACAGGAUUAGAUACCCUGGUAGUCCACGCCGUAAACGAUGUCGACUUGGAGGUUGUGCCCUUGAGGCGUGGCUUCCGGAGCUAACGCGUUAAGUCGACCGCCUGGGGAGUACGGCCGCAAGGUUAAAACUCAAAUGAAUUGACGGGGGCCCGCACAAGCGGUGGAGCAUGUGGUUUAAUUCGAUGCAACGCGAAGAACCUUACCUACUCUUGACAUCCAGAGAACUUAGCAGAGAUGCUUUGGUGCCUUCGGGAACUCUGAGACAGGUGCUGCAUGGCUGUCGUCAGCUCGUGUUGUGAAAUGUUGGGUUAAGUCCCGCAACGAGCGCAACCCUUAUCCUUUGUUGCCAGCGGUCCGGCCGGGAACUCAAAGGAGACUGCCAGUGAUAAACUGGAGGAAGGUGGGGAUGACGUCAAGUCAUCAUGGCCCUUACGAGUAGGGCUACACACGUGCUACAAUGGCAUAUACAAAGAGAAGCGACCUCGCGAGAGCAAGCGGACCUCAUAAAGUAUGUCGUAGUCCGGAUUGGAGUCUGCAACUCGACUCCAUGAAGUCGGAAUCGCUAGUAAUCGUAGAUCAGAAUGCUACGGUGAAUACGUUCCCGGGCCUUGUACACACCGCCCGUCACACCAUGGGAGUGGGUUGCAAAAGAAGUAGGUAGCUUAACCUUCGGGAGGGCGCUACCACU